rnacentral:rRNA from 1 species
GACGAACGCUGGCGGCGUGCUUAACACAUGCAAGCCGAACGAUGAAGCUGGAGCUUGCUCCGGUGGAUUAGUGGCGAACGGGUGAGUAACACGUGAGCAAUCUGCCCUUCACUCUGGGAUAACUGCGGGAAACUGCAGCUAAUACCGGAUACGAGACCUUGGGGCAUCCCAGGGUCUGGAAAGAAUUUCGGUGAAGGAUGAGCUCGCGGCCUAUCAGCUAGUUGGUGAGGUAAUGGCUCACCAAGGCGACGACGGGUAGCCGGCCUGAGAGGGUGACCGGCCACACUGGGACUGAGACACGGCCCAGACUCCUACGGGAGGCAGCAGUGGGGAAUAUUGCACAAUGGGCGAAAGCCUGAUGCAGCAACGCCGCGUGAGGGAUGAAGGCCUUCGGGUUGUAAACCUCUUUUAGUAGGGAAGAAGCGCAAGUGACGGUACCUACAGAAAAAGCACCGGCUAACUACGUGCCAGCCGCCGCGGUAA